rnacentral:misc_RNA from 1 species
GAUGAAGAACGUAGCGAAAUGCGAUAAGUAAUGUGAAUUGCAGAAUUCAGUGAAUCAUCGAAUCUUUGAACGCACAUUGCGCCCGCCAGCACUCUGGCGGGCAUGCCUGUUCGAGCGUCAUUUCAACCAUCAAGCCCCCUGGGGCUUGUGCUGGGGCCCUGCGGCUGCCCGCAGGCCCUGAAAACCAGUGGCGGGCUCGCUAGUCACACCGAGCGCAGUAGCACAUCUCGCUCAGGGCGUGCGGCGGGCUCCUGCCGUGAAACCCCCCACUGUAACCCCAAAGGUUGACCUCGGAUCAGGUAGGAAUACCCGCUGAACUUAAGCAUAUCAAUAAGCGGAGGA